GCUGCGAGCGUCCAUCGUGCUUCCCUUCCUUGCCCUCCGAGUUAUGUUCGAUGAUGGAAGAGCAUUGAAACAGAGGAUUGUAGCUUUUAAAGGGCCAACGACCUAACCGGAGGGAGUUCGAUGCCACGUCAGGGAGGAUUCAAGAGGAGGAGUGGAGCUUCGAGAGACAACCAACGCCCCAGCCUGAGGAAUCGGAUCUCAAUGCCACCUGAUCGCUUGACUCUUCACCGUGGCAGCGCGUGUGAGAGGAAGGGACUGGAUUAUAUUGCUGGCGUUGGCGGAGGUGAAGCGUGUCGGGAGGCCAAACGCGGCAGCCACCGUGAAUAUGCAAAUCGGCGGCGACACGAAGGACGGACGGUCGGAGGGCUGAGGCUGUUGCUAACGUUUUAAUGCCGAGGCGGGGAGGGCUGAGGCGAGCCUGGAUCCGGGGCCUGCGGACACAUGGAUACUGAGGAACUGUCUGGGAGAAGGACUUACCUGGGCAUAGGACGUUCGCUGACUGGUUGAGAGGCAUCCAAACGCUCGGCCACAUCCUUUGACACUAGAUGAUGCCUGCA